GGCUGUGGCCCAGUGGUUAAGGCUUUAGGCUUCUGACCGGAAGGCCGUGAGUUCAAAUAUCAGCGCUGCCA